AGUGAACGCUGGCGGUAGGCCCAACACAUGCAAGUCGAACGACAGCACAGUAAGAGCUUGCUCUUACGGGUGGCGAGUGGCGGACGGGUGAGGAAUACAUCGGAAUCUACUUUUUCGUGGGGGAUAACGUAGGGAAACUUACGCUAAUACCGCAUACGACCUACGGGUGAAAGCAGGGGAUCUUCGGACCUUGCGCGAUUGAAUGAGCCGAUGUCGGAUUAGCUAGUUGGCGGGGUAAAGGCCCACCAAGGCGACGAUCCGUAGCUGGUCUGAGAGGAUGAUCAGCCACACUGGAACUGAGACACGGUCCAGACUCCUACGGGAGGCAGCAGUGGGGAAUAUUGGACAAUGGGCGCAAGCCUGAUCCAGCCAUACCGCGUGGGUGAAGAAGGCCUUCGGGUUGUAAAGCCCUUUUGUUGGGAAAGAAAAGCAGCAGGUUAAUACCCCGCUGUUCUGACGGUACCCAAAGAAUAAGCACCGGCUAACUUCGUG
rnacentral:rRNA from 1 species